UGGAGACGGAGGUGGCGCAGGCAGAGGGCACAGCUGCAAAUGUUUAACCUCGCUGGUUUGUUUUGCUUAAAGUUUUACAGGCUGCAUUUGGAGAGGAAAGUAAGACUUGAAUAAAUGCAACGGUGGCCUCCGGUGGUGGCGGCUUGGUUCCUGCUAAUUUACCUGUUCCAGGUUCCAGUUUACUGUGGCAGAUCUAACCAGGGAUGAACCUUGGCGCUCCAGUUAUUGGAAGGUAAGACCCAGGAACUGCCAAGCUGGGUCAAGGCGACCACAAGAGGGUGCAGCUCUUCCAGGUUGUUCGGUUCUUCUUUCUGUAAAAUGAUUGUGUCCAAUUCGUUCGUGUUGCUAGUCUGAAGGAACUUGACUGGGACUUUUUUCUUAAUUUAAAGAGAUAGUAAAUAAAUAACAAAUAGAGGAACUGUCUAAUUAAAUCGCCAUUUUUUUGACAAAAAAAACAAAGCAG
ensembl:lncRNA